rnacentral:lncRNA from 1 species
UUUUACAGAGUUUACCUUAUUGACUAUGGCUGCUUUUGUACUACAAUGGAAGAGUUGAGUAGGCACAGGAGUCCAAAGGGUUUGCAAAUUCCAAAAAUGUUUACCAUCUGAGGCUUUAUAGAACCUAUUCUGAUCUCUGCUCUACAGUAAGCAGGUUAUGCACAUGUGAGUGAGUGUUAGCUGAGUUUCUUUGACGGUUCCAUGAAGAGAUGUUAAAGAAGACUGGUGCAGAAAAUGAGAGACCUGUCCUAUCAGAAGAUGACUUUACAAAGCUCCUUGACACAGCAAAGGCUAGAGAAAAAAAAAUUAGCUGAAAAAUAUGGGGUGCAACCUAAUUUGAUCAAAU